GGCCAAGUAGCUCAGUUGGUAGAGCAACGGACUGAAAAUCCGUGUGUCGGUGGUUCGAUUCCGCCCUUGGCCACCA
rnacentral:tRNA from 2 species